UUAGAUUUUCCACGGUGCUGUUGCAGUUUCCACUCUGCCCAAGUGACUCGACGCCACCUUUGCCAUCCCUCUGCCCUGUCUCCAACAACACAGCUCCCAGACUUUUCCCUGAAGUGACCUGGGCCUCCUUCCACUCCUCCUGAACUCUGCUGACUACAAAGGGAGCCCAGAAUGACUCAUUUCACUGGAGGUGUCCAAAUUAAAUGCCAGCACUGCCUGAUGAACUCUACCUCCCCCUCUUCGAACCGAUUUUAAGACAUAAAAAAGAGCAAUUCCAUCACCGGGUCAAAGAAACCCACGGAUUGUUUCACCGUUGUCUUCGCUGCUUCAGUUGGAGACUCGGUGGUGGAAGGGUGUUUGAUCUCCUUUUAGCCGUUGUCCCACUGGAAAAUCCAUUG